rnacentral:rRNA from 1 species
UACGUAGGGGGCUAGCGUUGUCCGGAAUCAUUGGACGUAAAGCGCGUGUAGGCGGUUCGGUAAGUCCGCUGUGAAAGUCGGGGGCUCAACCCUCGAAUGCCGGUGGAUACUGUCGGGCUAGAGUACGGAAGAGGCGAGUGGAAUUCCUGGUGUAGCGGUGAAAUGCGCAGAUAUCAGGAGGAACACCUAUUGCGAAGGCAGCUCGCUGGGACGUAACUGACGCUGAGACGCGAAAGCGUGGGGAGCAAACAGG